CGGAACCUCUAACAAACCACCUCUUCUCCACCCGUCUUCUCUAGCGGUCUUCUUCUACCUCUGCCACCGUCUUCUCAACGCGGUCUUCAUCUACCUCCGCCGCCGUCUCCACCGCGUGCUACCGUCUCCACCCUCCAUCGCGUCCUCCGUCUCCACCCUCCAUCGCGUGUACCGCCUCCACCGCCUCUACCCUCCACCUUCUCCACCGCGUCUUCGGUCUCCACCACCGCCAUCCGCCUCGCACAUCGGGAUCCCCAGAUCUGGUGAAGGAGAUGAUG
rnacentral:lncRNA from 1 species